GUACACUCCUACGGGAGGCAGCAGUGGGGAAUUUUGGACAAUGGGCGAAAGCCUGAUCCAGCAAUGCCGCGUGUGUGAAGAAGGCCUUCGGGUUGUAAAGCACUUUUGUCCGGAAAGAAAUCCUUGGCUCUAAUACAGUCGGGGGAUGACGGUACCGGAAGAAUAAGCACCGGCUAACUACGUGCCAGCAGCCGCGGUAAUACGUAGGGUGCGAGCGUUAAUCGGAAUUACUGGGCGUAAAGCGUGCGCAGGCGGUUUGCUAAGACCGAUGUGAAAUCCCCGGGCUCAACCUGGGAACUGCAUUGGUGACUGGCAGGCUAGAGUAUGGCAGAGGGGGGUAGAAUUCCACGUGUAGCAGUGAAAUGCGUAGAGAUGUGGAGGAAUACCGAUGGCGAAGGCAGCCCCCUGGGCCAAUACUGACGCUCAUGCACGAAAGCGUGGGGAGCAAACAGGAUUAGAUACCCGUGUAGUCCCAUGAU
rnacentral:rRNA from 1 species